GGGUAGGACAUUGAGGUCUUUUGCUUCUUAGAUGGCAAUCAUCUUAGCUUCCUAUGAUCUUGACAAACACCUAAGAAUUUUUCUCAUAAGCUUAUUGUUAGAAUAUGAUUUUUUUAAGACUUUUAGGAUCAUUUAUAAUAUCCAUAAAAUGAGUAAACAUAUUAACAAUAGAUUCAUUCGAUUCCAUUCUAAAUAACUCAUAUUUGUGCAC
rnacentral:lncRNA from 1 species